rnacentral:rRNA from 1 species
GACGAACGCUGGCGGCGUGCUUAACACAUGCAAGUCGAACGGAAAGGCCCUGCUUUUGUGGUGUGCUCGAGUGGCGAACGGGUGAGUAACACGUGAGUAACCUGCCCUUGACUUUGGGAUAACUUCAGGAAACUGGGGCUAAUACCGGAUAGGAGCUCCUGCUGCAUGGUGGGGGUUGGAAAGUUUCGGCGGUUGGGGAUGGACUCGCGGCUUAUCAGCUUGUUGGUGGGGUAGUGGCUUACCAAGGCUUUGACGGGUAGCCGGCCUGAGAGGGUGACCGGCCACAUUGGGACUGGGAUACGGCCCGGACUCCUACGGGAGGAAGCAGUGGGGAAUAUUGCACAAUGGGCGGAAGCCUGAUGCAGCAACGCCGCGUGCGGGAUGACGGCCUUCGGGUUGUAAACCGCUUUCGCCUGUGACGAAGCGUGAGUGACGGUAAUGGGUAAAGAAGCACCGGCUAACUACGUG